GGCUCUAUGGGGUUCUAUGGGGCUCCAGAAGGUUCUAUGAGGCGCUGUGGGGGUCUAUGGGAUCCCAUUGGGUUCUGUGGAGAUCUAGAAGGUUCUAUGGAGUUCUAUGGGGUUCUGUGGGGGUCUAUGGGGCACUGUGGGGUCCUAUGGUGCACUAGAAGAUUCUGUGGGGUCCCAUUGGGUUCUGUGGGGCUCUAUGGGGU